UACGGGGGGGGCAAGCGUUGUUCGGAAUUACUGGGCGUAAAGGGCUCGUAGGUGGCCAACUAAGUCGGACGUGAAAUCCCUCGGCUUAACCGGGGAACUGCGUCCGAUACUGGUUGGCUUGAGUUUGGGAGAGGGAUGCGGAAUUCCAGGUGUGGCGGUGAAAUGCGUAGAUAUCUGGAGGAACACCGGUGGCGAAGGCGGCAUCCUGGACCAAUACUGACGCUGAGGAGCGAAAGCCAGGGGAGCAAACGGG
rnacentral:rRNA from 1 species